UACGGCCGCAAGGUUAAAACUCAAAUGAAUUGACGGGGGCCCGCACAAGCGGUGGAGCAUGUGGUUUAAUUCGAUGCAACGCGAAGAACCUUACCUGGUCUUGACAUCCACGGAAGUUUUCAGAGAUGAGAAUGUGCCUUCGGGAACCGUGAGACAGGUGCUGCAUGGCUGUCGUCAGCUCGUGUUGUGAAAUGUUGGGUUAAGUCCCGCAACGAGCGCAACCCUUAUCCUUUGUUGCCAGCGGUCCGGCCGGGAACUCAAAGGAGACUGCCAGUGAUAAACUGGAGGAAGGUGGGGAUGACGUCAAGUCAUCAUGGCCCUUACGACCAGGGCUACACACGUGCUACAAUGGCGCAUACAAAGAGAAGCGACCUCGCGAGAGCAAGCGGACCUCAUAAAGUGCGUCGUAGUCCGGAUUGGAGUCUGCAACUCGACUCCAUGAAGUCGGAAUCGCUAGUAAUCGUGGAUCAGAAUGCCACGGUGAAUACGUUCCCGGGCCUUGUACACACCGCCCGUCACACCAUGGGAGUGGGUUGCAAAAGAAGUAGGUAGCUUAACCUUCGGGAGGGCGCUUACCACUUUGUGAUUCAUGACUGGGGUGAAGUCGUAACA
rnacentral:rRNA from 1 species